GCGCAACGCAUGCUUUAGAACGAUCUUAGGGAAGCUCACCCCUUUGAGCCGGGCCGUGCGGAUGUAUUGCGCUGUCAUCACUUCGGUCAUCGAGGCACGUGUCAUGCGGGCGAUAUAGCCCAUGCCAUAGAGCGCAAUUGUCAGAACCGGCAGAAAAAAGUUUUCAAAGGUCGGGUUC
rfam:Roseobacter sp. MedPE-SWchi Roseobacter-sp-MedPE-SWchi-C7, whole genome shotgun sequence.